GAGCAACUAGAUAAAUUAGAAAUGCUAUUGGUUGACCAACAUCUACCAACUUCAGAAGAGAAAGGUAGUUCUAUCCCUCAUAACAUUGUUAGUGACAGGACAAAGAAAGCGACACUGGAGCAUUCAGUCUGAACAAGUAGAACUGCUGUACAAAGCGUAGGGGCAGGACGGAGCCGCAGCAUGAAUGUCUGAUGAAACAAGAUGUUGCUGUCUCUGACCUGUCCUCAUGAUUCUCCUACUUCAAAAGCAUCAGCACAAGAGAAACAAGAGGAUUUUUAAUGUUUU